AUUGAACGCUGGCGGCAGGCCUAACACAUGCAAGUCGAGCGGAUGAAGGGAGCUUGCUCCUGUAUUCAGCGGCGGACGGGUGAGUAAUGCCUAGGAAUCUGCCUGGUCGUGGGGGAUAACGUCCGGAAACGGGCGCUAAUACCGCAUACGUCCUGAGGGAGAAAGUGGGGGAUCUUCGGACCUCACGCUAUCAGAUGAGCCUAGGUCGGAUUAGCUAGUUGGUGGGGUAAAGGCCUACCAAGGCGACGAUCCGUAACUGGUCUGAGAGGAUGAUCAGUCACACUGGAACUGAGACACGGUCCAGACUCCUACGGGAGGCAGCAGUGGGGAAUAUUGGACAAUGGGCGAAAGCCUGAUCCAGCCAUGCCGCGUGUGUGAAGAAGGUCUUCGGAUUGUAAAGCACUUUAAGUUGGGAGGAAGGGCAGUAAGUUAAUACCUGGCUGUUUUGACGGUACCAACAGAAUAAGCACCGGCUAACUUCGUG
rnacentral:rRNA from 1 species